ensembl:lncRNA PART1 prostate androgen-regulated transcript 1
AAAGCUGAAAGGGCUGCACUGGAACAACACAGAUGAGAUAUUCUACACAUUAAUCUACUUAUCUGGAAUCACUUUGCCUCUAAAGGCCAGAGAAAAAUCACAGCUUCCUUGUCGGAGGGGAAAAGGACAGGUGAUCUGGGGAAAACGCAGCUACACCUGGAGCAAGGUCUCUUCCCGGCUUGGCAAUCUCAGCUGUGCCGGCGCUACGGGACCCGAGCCGUCCCAGAAACCAAAGGGCAGGCACGGCAGCAAACGCCUGAGGACUGAGAAGACGUCAAGGUCCAGACACUCGUCAUUAACACCUACUCACAACCGAUUCCCCCACCCACUUUGGCCUCACCAAGAUUUGGCAAGCAGGAGAAUUAAAUGUCACUUUGCUACCAUCCUCUGCUGAACCUCCAACAGAAAAACCCAUAUUGCCCAAGUACAAAGCAUGAAAUACUGCUGGCCUACCCUGACUUUUCAGCUAUUCUCCUUGCAUAUAGUAAAUGACUCCCCAGGAGACAUCAUCUUAAAGUCUGAGACACAAAAAAGGACCCAAAGUCCUAUAUGCUUGAAGAAUUGCAUGGCAAUAUAUUUAGUUAACAUUUUCUAUUUUAUUAGAAAAAACAGACAAUUCAAUUGUCGAUGUGAUCGUUUCAGGCUUCCCAGCCUCUCCUUUCUGACAUCAUCCUAUAUACUACAACCUCCACCAGAAAAGCAGUAUGGUACUGGGAAAAAGAGAUCUAAAGGCAGAACACUAGGGCUUCACUCUCAGCACUGUUAACUGAGUGACUUGACUAAGUCACUGAAAUUCACUGAAACUGCAGUUUCCCCUUCUGUCAAAGGGGGAUAACAAUAUCAGCUUCACAGGGUGCUGUGAAGGAAGCAAAUGAGAAAAUGAAAGUGAGCAUCCUUUUAAAUUAUAAACAGAGAAUAAGGGAGAGGGGAGGGGGAAGGGGAGAGGAGGAAGAAAGGAAACAAUCUGCCCUCCCUCACCCCUUCACACUAGGUAAAAUAAAAUGUUUAGACAGAAAAACCUAAAGAAAAGGAUCCAAAUAAAAUAUUCUUAGGAACUGUCAAAGGGAGAAGACAUUGGAAUCUCCAAAUCUGGCCAAGAGCUCAGCCUAAGCAGCAUGUUUUGAACUCCUGAGUCCUUGGAACCCUGCACUAAAGCUUUGGGACUCUGACCUGCAGGAAAAAAAAAAAAAAAAUGCUUCCCUCAGUUCAUUCCCUGUAGUUUAAAAACAAGAGCAACUAAAGGGCAAGCUUCGGGGGCAAGGGGAGACAAACACCUCAGACCAUUAACUUACUUUAUCCCCAUUGGAAAUCAACUUCUGGAGAACAUUUCAGCUUUGUAUGCUCUUCUUGGUCCCACUCAAAUGGGAAGUUCUGCUCGAGGCCAGAAAUAGAAAACAGGAAGUCAACAGAACUGAUUUUCCUAACUGCCCAAAUGCAAAUCACCACACUCCGUUAUGGAUGAGAAUUAGAGUAAAAUGUAAACUUCUUUUUAAAAAGAAGUUCACAUGCUAACUGUGUACAGAAAACAUCCUACUCCAGGGAAGAAAGAAAGAAAGAAAGAAAGGAAAGAUCCAUCAGCUUCCUUCCUUAAUAAAGGAGGAUUGACAGAGCUGGACUGACAGUGAAGUAAAGGUUACCGACGGUGUGCUCAUCAGAACCAUGCUGCCACUAAAAAUAAUGAAGUGUCCCACUUUGAUGCGACACUAUUCUCCAAGUUGGUUCCUCUAAAGGUGCUUUUCUUCAAGGGAAGCAGAUACUAAAGUGACAACUUUCUCAUUACCAUUCAGACUAUUUUCUUAGAGUCCCAGGUUUGAAACUUUCAAGUUGAAACUCUAAGCUGCACCCACUGCAUACAGACUUCUUAGUCAGUUUCUGUCACGUACCAUCAUAUCUACCUUAUUUGCAUCAGUCAUAAAUUCUGCUCAUUCUUCUAUCACAGCUCCUCUGACAUUUGCCAGACCUCACCAUUUCCUCAGCCAUUUCUGGUCUGAAUCAUCAGCCCCCCAUGCCUGCUGCCUGCUCUCUUCUAUAAACAUACCAGAUGAAUCUUUCCAGCAUGCUGCUUCCCCUGCCCCCAAGUCAGCCACAGUUCCCUACUACCUAUUGAUCACAUCUGAGUUGCCUCAGCCAGUGGUCUUGCCAUAUCUACCUAGCUUAGGCUGAGUGUUAUAGGAGAAAGUGCACUAGCCCGGGCACCAGAUGGAUCAGCCUGCCUUGUACUUCAUGCAGGUUGAACAGAAAUGUUUUCUGAGCAUGUAUUGUUACAGCCCUCUGAGAUGGUAUAAAAGAAUGAAAGAAGACACGACCUGCCUUCCAGGAGUUUCACAAAAAAGAUGGGAUGAACACAGGGACGGGUAAAUUGAAGCAAAAAGCAGACAAGUUCUAUGGGAUUUGCUGGCAUUGAUUUCCCAGGAUGGCAAAGUGCUAAGAACUAAACCUUUAAAGCUAACAAAAUGUACUGAUGUCUUUGCAAAGUAUCCAAGACCAACAAGAAAGUAAUUUCCCACCUCACCCUACCACCACCCAGAAAAGGAGCACAGAGAUGGGGAAGAGAGUGGCUGCAUCUGGCAUC